rnacentral:misc_RNA from 1 species
CAGAACCAAUCUCGUGUAAAAACACUGUGCGCCCAAAAGUAUCAAGAUUUUUGUCAGAAAUGUUGGCAUCAGUGCAAGCUGAAGGAUCUAUGGAAGCCGAUUCAUCACUUUCCAAGGCCCUUUGCAGCACUUCGGAGCUUGCUUUUUUGGAUUUGAUGGCUGCUGCACGAGGCGCGGGAAUGGAGCGGGAUGCAGCGAAAGCCGCAGCCAAUGCAUCUCCCGGUUUUGAAUUUGAUCUGAUGACCCCACUGAAAAAUGGUGGCAACACACUCUGACCUGCUGGUGGUGAAGAAAAUUCACUCGAUUGUUUACUACUAAUUGACUCUGCUCUUGACUGUGUCUGAUGCAACUCUAAUGGCAGUUUUAAGGAUUGAAAAGAUGAUUCUGCCGAGCGAUUGCGACGAUCUACAUCAUUGCGUUUAUGCAAAGCAGAUGGAGAAGAAGGAGGAGAAGGCGAAGAAGAAGAAGAG